rnacentral:rRNA from 1 species
AAUAAUAACUAUAACUACUAACCCGUUUUCCCCACUGAAUGAUUCUAUAAUAAUAUAGUAAGCACAAUGCUAGAACUAGUAACAAGAAUAAAUUCUCCAAAAUGCAAGUAUUUACCAAAUUAACUGCCGGUACUUAACGAACAUGAGCCCAUUACAGUAACCUUCAAGAAAACCCUGUAUGAACCCUCGUCAACCUAACACCAGAGCAUUCCAGGAAAGAUUUAAAGAAAAAGAAGGAACUUGGCAAAUCUCGACCCCGCCUGUUUACCAAAAACAUCGCCUCUUGAUCUCAAUGAGAGGUCCAGCCUGCCCGGUGAUACAUUCAACGGCCACGGUACCCUAACCGUGCAAAGGUAGCAUAAUCACUCGUUCUUUAAAUAGGGACUAGUAUCAACGGCAUCACGAGGGUCGCACCGUCUCCUUUUUCUAAUCAGUGAAACUGAUCUCCCCAUGAAGAAGUGGGGAUAAAACUAUAAGACGAGAAGACCCCAUGGAGCUUUAGACUUCCAACAACCACAUUACACAUUUCCCCACAACAUAAAGUUAUGUCCACCAGUCUUAGGUUGGGGCGACCGCGGAGUAAAAAACAACCUCCAUGAUGAAAAUUAAAUCUUAUCUAUGAGUUACUACUCUAAGAAUUAGAAUACUAACAUACAAUGACCCGAUAAACGACCAACGAACCAAGUUACCCUGGGGAUAACAGCGCAAUCUACUUCGAGAGCUCAUAUCGACAAGUAGGCUUACGACCUCGAUGUUGGAUCAGGGUACCCCAGUGGUGCAGCCGCUACUAACGGUUC